CCUGGCAUUCCCUUAUACAGGGGCAUAGAUCCAUCACAGAACCAAGGGCCUCUCUUCCCAUUGAUGCCCAACAAUGCCAAGAGGCAAUGAUAUUGUUCACGUGCCUCUUGCUGUAGUACCUCACUUCAUAGUUAAAUUAUACCACAGACUCAUACCGAGCUUUACUCAUGAUCACACCUCUUAUACCUUUAUUAACCUUUAGGAUUUUAUGAUCUGUGAGGCGUAGAUACACAUCUGUUCAACAGACCAAAUUUAUACCUAGCCACCUGUCUAAAUAUUUCAAAGGCUACUUGUAAAAAUACCUUGAGUGUAUAAAAUAGUGCUUACCUUAGUUUUAGGAUAAACAUACUAUUUAUGUACCUCAAUCCUCAGGGCCCCGUUUUCAAUAACUCAUGUAAUUUACAGCUGCAUAUAGUUGGAUGUAGGUCUGGGUGUGGUAAAACAUUAGGUUAAAGUGCAUUCCAUCAUUAAGAAAAACGUUCAGAUUAUGGGACUAUAUCAUAGAGAUUCUUUGAAAAUACUGAGAUUUUUAAGUGUAAUAUGAAUAUUAAAACACUUAAAAAUGACUUGUGCUACACUUAUUCCUAUACAAGGGAAUUGAUGAAGAAGUGCAAACUAGAGUAUUAUCUAAGUUUUUUCAUCAAUUUUUUUGAUUUUUUUCAUAAAUAUCCUAUGUUCACAAAACCUAAUGAAGAAAAAAUUUAUGAAUGAAUAAAUAAGAAAUCAUGAUUAAAUGAAAUACACUAGACAGGUGUAUAAUUUUAACUGGGAGGUCUGCAUAUUUGUGACAUAUGAAUGGAAAUUACUGAAUUUAGAUAUGGUAUCUAUCAUAUCUAUACCAUACCAUAUAUAUACACAUAUAAUAUGGUGAUUUUUUAGUAUUUCUUACUUCGAUAAUUAUAAAGCUGAAUUGUGCUUAGCUUAGAGAAAAUGUGGAGCAUUUGAAGCACAGUAAAUGUACUAAGCUCAGGAUUAUAUAAUAUUUGGGAACCAAUAGGGUCAAUCUCUGCCAUCCUGUAAGAGGUGUAGAAGACAUUAAGGCACCAGUAUGAAAUAUAAAGAGGUCUCUGACUAUGUUACCAACAAAUACCAGUCGUCUUUAUUUGUGGGAUAUGUUGACAUGUGUCAGAGAGUCUUAUUUCUUGGCCAUAAAGCUUUAAAAGGUAUUCAAAAUUUAUAAGUUGUUCUUUAAUUUCUAAUAAUAGGGAUGACUUACCUUUUUAUCAAUAAAUUAUUAGAUAUAUGAUUACAAAGUUUUGUCUUAUUAAUUACUAUACACACUGACAAUUUUCCCAUCCCCCCCAACCCUGAGGACAAGCUCUAUAACAGAGUCCUAUGUAAUGUUUGUUAUUAGACACUGACUCCAUGGUAGGGGCUCAGCUUUCAUAUGCCUACCGAAUCUUUGUAUAUCUGAAGUGUGACUACAGCACCCAAUUGCAAAUUUAUUUCAUUAAAAAUUUACAGGUUUGUCAAAUAGCAAAUUUUUAAUUAAAAAUAUGGAUAUUUUUAUAUUUUCAUGCACAUUACUUUUUAUAUAUAAUUUUAUAUGACUAUGAAAUAAAUCAAUACAUAAUCUUAAUAUAAAUUGUUAUGAUCAUGACCCUGCACAAUAAUAUUCUAUAUAGAUUUGGAAAUGAAUUUUUUUCUGGAAAAAUUUAUUGGUUAAGAUUUGUUAAAGAGAAUCUGUAUGCUGCCCUCAAGGACAACAUCAUAUAGAGGUUUUUUUUUUUAUUUUUACAUUUUAUUUCCUAUGUUGCUGAUAGACUAAAAUUAAUUUUUGCCUGUUUAAAAAUCGUAACAAAGUCAUGCCAGUGGAUUUUACAGGUGUAGCUUCUGAUGUUACUUGGAGACAAAAUCUCACAUUAAAGUCUCUGAUCCUCUGAUUCUAACAGUAUUUCUGUCAUCUCUUCUGAAAUAUUGCCUUCACCUCAGUUGCAGGGCUGUUUUGUAGUUGGAUCCAUUGGCAGUGGACUCCACAACUCUGAACUUGGAUUGCCUGUCCUUUUCUAUAGCGGGCUCAGGCUCUUGCCAAGAGAUUUCAUGAUUUAUGGACGGAGAGGCGGCCAAAGUUAUGAGCUCCCUGUGGAAAUUACUGGUGUCAAGAGAGAUCAGAACAGGCAAUUUUGUAGUUAU